rnacentral:rRNA from 1 species
ACGAGUGGUGCAAGCGUUAUUCGGAAUCAUUGGGCGUACAGGGCGUGUAGGUGGUAUGUUAAGUCUGUUGUUAAAGACUCUAGCCUAACUGGAGAAAGGCAAUGGAAACUGGUGUACUAGAGGGUGGAAGAGGGAAGUGGAAUUCGCGGUGUAGCGGUGAAAUGCUUAGAUAUCGCGAGGAACACCGAUGGCGAAGGCAGCUUACUAGGCCAUAACUGACACUGAGGCGCGAAAGCGUGGGGAGCAAACAG